rnacentral:rRNA from 1 species
GACGAACGCUGGCGGCGUGCUUAACACAUGCAAGUCGAACGGAAAGGCCCUGCUUUUGUGGGGUGCUCGAGUGGCGAACGGGUGAGUAACACGUGAGUAACCUGCCCUUGACUUUGGGAUAACUUCAGGAAACUGGGGCUAAUACCGGAUAGGAGCUCCUGCUGCAUGGUGGGGGUUGGAAAGUUUCGGCGGUUGGGGAUGGACUCGCGGCUUAUCAGCUUGUUGGUGGGGUAGUGGCUUACCAAGGCUUUGACGGGUAGCCGGCCUGAGAGGGUGACCGGCCACCUUGGGACCGAGGUUCCGCCCCGGCCCCUACGGGGGGGAGGCGGUGGGAAUUUUUCACCAUGGGCCGAAGCCUUAUGCAGCCACCCCGGGGUCCGGAAGACCGCCUUCGGGGUGGAAACCGCUUUCGCCUGUGACGAAGCGUGAGUGACGGUAAUGGGUAAAGAAGCACCGGCUAACUACGUG